AUCCGGCUGACGAGUCCCAAAUAGGACGAAACGUGCGUCCUGGAU
rfam:Schistosoma mansoni strain Puerto Rico chromosome 7, complete genome